rnacentral:rRNA from 1 species
UCGGGCUAAUACUGCAUAGAGCGACGGAAUCCGUAAUUGGGUUUUUCGGGAAAGGGAGCUCGCAAGAGCCCUCGCUUUGGGAUGAGCCUGCGUCUCAUUAGCUAGUUGGUGGGGUAAUGGCCCACCAAGGCUUUGAUGGGUAGCUGGUCUGAGAGGAUGAUCAGCCACACUGGAACUGAAACACGGUCCAGACUCCUACGGGAGGCAGCAGUGGGGAAUCUUGCGCAAUGGACGAAAGUCUGACGCAGCCACGCCGCGUGAGUGAAGAAGGCCUUCGGGUUGUAAAGCUCUGUCGGACGGGACGAAAAGCCAUACAGUUAAGAGCUGGGUGGCCUGACGGUACCGUUAAAGGAAGCACCGGCUAACUUCGUGCCAGCAGCCCGCGGUAAUACGAGGGGUGCGAGCGUUGCUCGGAAUUAUUGGGCGUAAA